CGAUUGAGUUUGAUCAUGGCUCAGGAUGAACGCUGGCGGCGUGCCUAAUACAUGCAAGUCGAGCGCAACUUCUUAUACCGAACCUUCGGGUUCACUUUAAGAGUUGAGCGGCGGACGGGUGAGUAACACGUAGGCAACCUACCCUUAAGACUGGGAUAACUACGGGAAACCGUAGCUAAUACCGGAUAAUACCUUUACUCAAAAGAGUAAAGAUUGAAAGAUGGAUUUUCUAUCACUUAAGGAUGGGCCUGCGGCGCAUUAGCUAGUUGGUGAGGUAGUAGCUCACCAAGGCGACGAUGCGUAGCCGACCUGAGAGGGUGAUCGGCCACACUGGGACUGAGACACGGCCCAGACUCCUACGGGAGGCAGCAGUAGGGAAUCUUCCGCAAUGGACGCAAGUCUGACGGAGCAACGCCGCGUGUGUGAUGAAGGAUUUCGGUUCGUAAAGCACUGUUGUUAAGGAAGAAUAGUAGUAAGAGUAACUGUUUACUAAUUGACGGUACUUAACCAGAAAGCCACGGCUAACUACGUGCCAGCAGCCGCGGUAAUACGUAGGUGGCAAGCGUUAUCCGGAAUUAUUGGGCGUAAAGCGCGCGUAGGCGGCAAGAUUAGUCUGAUGUGAAAGCCCCCGGCUCAACCGGGGAGGGUCAUUGGAAACUGUCUUGCUUGAGUGCAGAAGAGGAGAGUGGAAUUCCAUGUGUAGCGGUGAAAUGCGCAGAGAUAUGGAGGAACACCAGUGGCGAAGGCGGCUCUCUGGUCUGCAACUGACGCUGAUGUGCGAAAGCGUGGGGAUCAAACAGGAUUAGAUACCCUGGUAGUCCACGCCGUAAACGAUGAGUGCUAAGUGUUA
rnacentral:rRNA from 1 species